GUAAGGAAUAGGUAAGGAGUAGGUAAGGAAUAGGUAAGGAAUAGGUAAGGAAUAGGUAAGGAAUAGGUAAGGAGUAGGUAAGGAGUAGGUAAGGAAUAGGUAAGGAAUAGGUAAGGAGUAGGUAAGGAAUAGGUAAGGAAUAGGUAAGGAGUAGGUAAGGAAUAGGUAAGGAAUAGGUAAGGAGUAGGUAAGGAGUAGGUAAGGAAUAGGUAAGGAAUAGGUAAGGAAUAGGUAAGGAGUAGGUAAGGAAUAGGUAAGGAAUAGGUAAGGAAUAGGUAAGGAAUAGGUAAGGAGUAGGUGAGGAGUAGGUGAGGAAUAGGUGAGGAAUAGGUGAGGAAUAGGUGAGGAAUAGGUAAGGAAUAGGUAAGGAAUAGGUAAGGAGUAGGUGAGGAGUAGGUGAGGAAUAGGUGAGGAAUAGGUGAGGAAGAGGUG
ensembl:lncRNA